rnacentral:rRNA from 1 species
UGGGGAAUCUUGCACAAUGGGGGAAACCCUGAUGCAGCGACGCCGCGUGAGCGAUGAAGCCCUUCGGGGUGUAAAGCUCUUUCGGCAGGAACGAUAAUGACGGUACCUGAAGAAGAAGCUGCGGCUAACUACGUGCCAGCAGCCGCGGUAAUACGUAGGCAGCAAGCGUUGUUCGGAGUUACUGGGCGUAAAGAGUGUGUAGGCGGUGCUCUAAGUUCGGUGUGAAAUCUCCCGGCUCAACUGGGAGGGUGCGCCGAAAACUGGAGUGCUUGAGUGUGGGAGAGGAAAGCGGAAUUCCUGGUGUAGCGGUGAAAUGCGUAGAUAUCAGGAGGAACACCUGCGGUGUAGACGGCUUUCUGGACCAUUACUGACGCUGAGACACGAAAGCGUGGGUAGCAAACAGGAUUAGAUACCCGGGUAGUCC